rnacentral:pre_miRNA from 1 species
UGUUAAAAAUUUCAUCUAUUAGUACUGUUAAAAACUCGUGUGCCUGGCGGAAUAACCAGAUAAUGACAUGUUACAUACAUGUGUACAUCAUGGUGACAUACAGAGACCAAUUUUUAACUGUAGAAAUAGAUGUAAUUUUUAAUA